UACGUAGGUGACAAGCGUUAUCCGGAUUUACUGGGUGUAAAGGGCGUGUAGGCGGCUUUGCAAGUCAGAAGUGAAAUUCCCGGGCUUAACCUGGGCGCUGCUUCUGAAACUGUAAAGCUUGAGUACUGGAGGGGAAAGCGGAAUUCCUAGUGUAGCGGUAAAAUGCACAGAUAUUAGGAGGAACACCGGUGGCGAAGGCGGCUUUCUGGACAGUAACUGACGCUGAGGCGCGAAAGCGUGGGGAG
rnacentral:rRNA from 1 species